GUGACCGUGGCGGUGUAGGUGGAAGCGGCGGUGAAGGAGGAGGAGGUAGCCAACACUGAUUUUUAUAGAUAUAUAUAUAUUUUAAUUGGGGUAGCCCCCAAAAUAUUGGGACAUAUAAAAAAAGACAACUCUGUUCCGCAGAGUAGUUGUUGACAUUAUAGUUUUGCAGGCACUUUGUUGACUCUAGAGAACCUCGGGCCAAUCACACAUCCCCGCGACAGCGACUUUGCAUUCGGAUGUCAUCCAUAUCAACUUUCGAGGCCAGUUUCUGCGCCUACCAUGGUGACCACGGGUAACGUGGAAUCAGGGUUGGAUUACGGAGAGGGAAUCUGAGAAACGGCUACCACAUGCAAGGAAGGCAGCAGGCGCGCAGUGACCCACUCCUGAUGCAGGAAGGUAGUGACAUCAAAUAACAAUACAGGACUCUUUAGAGGCCCUGUAAUUGUAAUGAGUCCACUUGAAAUCCUUUAACUCUGAUCAAUUGGAGGGCAAGUCUGGUGCAGAGCGACUGACCAGUGUGUGCUGCAGCUGAAACUCCACU